ACUGUAAUAAUCAUCAUGGCUUUGGUGUGGCUGCAAGCAGCAGUUGUUGACGGGUGCACUGCAAACGAUAAUUGGUGUGGCCAUCUCGCUGCACCGUGUUGCAGUAAUUCGGUCUGCGUGAUAGUUCCUAAUCUUGGUAAAAAAUGCAAGGACAAAGGGGACCUCUGCUCUAAGGGACCUGGAGUUUUCUGGAAUUGUCCAACACCUGCAGUGUAACGUAAAAGGAGAUUAUCAAUCAUAGGCUCGAAUUGACGAGGACUUCAAAGUGUUUCAGGGAUACAAGCUGUAACGACAAAGGUUAAAUGCCGAGUGGAUUGUCCCCAAAAUUCUGAAACUAUAAAUAUUGUUCUACUUAUGAUUGAUCAGUAAACUGAAAGUUACUCAUUCUAUCUUUGCUUUGCUUAUUGUAUCAACCAAUGUCCUUGCAAAGUAAAAUAUGUGUGAGUCAUGUGUGUGGGUGUUUCAAACGUCGCUCUCUGCACGAAAGCAACAGUUGUAACUAUCAAACUUCAUGACCAAUAAAAUACCUAGUC
rnacentral:misc_RNA from 1 species